rnacentral:rRNA from 1 species
CAAUAGCGUAUAUUAAAGUUGUUGCGGUUAAAAAGUUCGUAGUUGGAUUUCUGCCAAGGACGACCGGUCCGCCCUCUGGGUGAGUAUCUGGCUUGGCCUGGGCAUCUUCUUGGAGAACGUUGCUGCACUUCACUGUGUGGCGCGGUACCCAGGACCUUUACUUUGAGGAAAUUAGAGUGUUUCAAGCAGGCUUUCGCCUUGAAUACAUUAGCAUGGAAUAAUAAGAUAGGACCUCGGUUCUAUUUUGUUGGUUUCUAGAGCUGGGGUAAUGAUUAAUAGGGAUAGUUGGGGGCAUUCGUAUUUAACUGCCAGAGGUGAAAUUCUUGGAUUUGUUAAAGACGGACUACUGCGAAAGCAUUUGCCAAGGAUGUUUUCAUUGA